CAGUCGCCACGGGAAUACGAAGGGUGCAAGCGUUACUCGGAAUUACUGGGCGUAAAGCGUGCGUAGGUGGUGGUUUAAGUCCGUUGUGAAAGCCCUGGGCUCAACCUGGGAAUUGCAGUGGAUACUGGAUCACUAGAGUGUGGUAGAGGAUAGUGGAAUUUCCGGUGUAGCAGUGAAAUGCGUAGAGAUCGGAAGGAACAUCUGUGGCGAAGGCGACUAUCUGGGCCAACACUGACACUGAGGCACGAAAGCGUGGGGAGCAAACAGGAUUAGAUACCCCCGUAGUCCCUGUCUCUUAUAC
rnacentral:rRNA from 1 species